rnacentral:rRNA from 1 species
AGAGUUUGAUCCUGGCUCAGCCUGAACGCUGGCGGCGUGGCUAAGACAUGCAAGUCGUACGGGUGUAGCAAUACACCAGUGGCGAACGGGUGAGUAAUGUAUCGCUAACGUGCCCCCGAGUCAGGGAUAGCUGCCCGAAAGGGCAGGUAAUACCUGAUGAGACCACGAAGAGGCAUCUCUUUGUGCUCAAAGCAGCAAUGCGCUCAGGGAGCGGGCGAUAUCGUAUCAGCUAGUUGGUGAGGUAACGGCUCACCAAGGCGACGACGCGUAGCCGGACUGAGAGGUUGGCCGGCCACAUUGGGACUGAGACACUGCCCAGACUCCUACGGGGGGCUGCAGUAACGAAUCUUCCGCAAUGCACGAAAGUGUGACGGAGCGACGCCGCGUGUGGGACGAAGUCCUUCGGGAUGUAAACCACUGUCAGGGGUUACCAAGUUCUGAGGAGCCCCAGAGGAAGGCACGGCUAACUCUGUGCCAGCAGCCGCGGUAAUAC